AUAAAUCUUCUCUCUCCCCAAUCAGCGAUAUCUCCUUCUCUCUCUCCAGUCGGCGACAUCUCCCAUUUUCCAGUCAACGCCUCUCUCCCCCACUUCACUAACGAGUGCUGGCAGCCCAGUCGGCACCGACGAUGUCUCCUUUCUCUCCCCAGUCGACGAUAAAUCUUCUCUCUCCCCAGUUAGCGAUAUCUCCUUCUCUCUCUACUAUGGCGACAUCUCCCACUUCCCAGUCGGAGACAACUCUUCCCUCUCCCCAGUCGACAUUGGCGACAUCUCCUUCUCUCUCCCUAGUCGGUGACAUCUACUCUUUCCAAUUGACGCUUCUCUCCCCCACUUCACUGACGACUGCCGGAGACAACCCUUGCCUCUCCCUAAUCGGCGUCGGCGACAUCUCCUUUGACGGGAACUCUUUUCAGGUUUGCAAUCAAAUUUUUUGAUAAUUAAGAUCUUUUAUGUGCAUGUUGUUAAAGAAUUUUUAGUUGCUAUUAAAGAUUUUUAGAAUUUAUGGACUAUUAAUCUGAUUAUUUGGAUACUGUUAAAAAAUCUAAUUAUUUGCUAUUUGGUUACUAUAACACUAUUGAUUUUUAGAAUUUAUGGACUAUUAAUCUGAUUUAUGGACUAAAAGUUGCUAUUAAAGAUUUUUAGAAUUUAUGGACUAUUAAUCUAAUUUAUCUGAUUAUUAAUCUGAUUAUUUGCUAUUUGGUCACUGUUAAUCUGAUAAUCAAGAUCUUUUUAGUUGCUGUUAAAAUAUGUUAAUACUAUCAAAUUCCAUGCCGUUUAAGAAAAAUAUGUGUUAAUUUACCAGAAUGAUAUUUGAUGUAGUGAAGAGAUUAUAAAUCCUAAGUACUCUCUAUGUAAUCCAUCUGGUUCGUGUCAUUGAGCAUUUCUCCAAUGUUUCUACUGCUGGGUUGUGCAUAUCCUGCAGAUAGUUUUUUGUGAAAAUUAUUGCAAGUU
rnacentral:lncRNA from 1 species